GAGGAGGGCAGAUGUGACCUCUGUCCUCAUAGAGCUUAUGAUCUAGCUGAGCAGAAAGCCUCAGGGCCAGACACACAGUAAGUGCGCACUCAAGGCACAUUGACUCACCUGGUCUCUGUGAUUGUGUUUUCUCCUCCUGAAGAGGGGCCAGAGUCAAGGGACGUGAUGCUUCUGUGAUUGCCAAAUUCUCCUUUUCCAUCUGCUCAGCAUUUAUCAAGUACUCAGUGCAUUCUUGGUGAUUCUGACUUGACAGAGGAGCAAGAUUUGUCCCACGGAUCCCAGAGGAGAGUCUGCGCCCUGAAUAACUAUUCCAACUAUUGCUCACCAUAUGUCCACAACCAAAAAAUAGUUUUGGAGGGCAGGAAAUGAGCACACAUGUGCACAUCUGCAGAGAGUCGCCUGCUGAAAUCAACACCAUCUGGACCUGAACUGCAAUGACCCCGGAUGCUUUCCUGCUUGGCACCUCAGGGGUUGCAGAUUUUACUUCCUCUGAAGACGUUUCCUCACACCCCAUGUCUGUGUCACAGACCAUUUGAUAAUGAGACCCUCAAACCUGGUCUUUGCCUUUGCUGGAGGCAUCCACUGCCACUCUCCUUUGUGUCCUGAAGCCUGCUACAGCAAACCCUAUCCGUCAUAUUGCCCCAAGCACCUCCUGUUGACAUCUCUCACUUUGCGAUGGAAUUAUUUUUUGAAAGUGCUAAGAAUGUAUUUUUCAUCUCUUGAAUUCCUUUCAUCUCCAGAAGCAUUUGACUCUCCUCAUUAAACAGAAACAUGCGUUGGAACUGUGGUGGGGCCCACAAGCCAACAUAUUAAGGACACGUGUUAGAUACAUCAUGUGGAGGUCAUCAGCAGGCAGGGAGCCUGGCCAGCAGCAGCCUUCCUUCCUGACAGCACCCCCGAUGGCCAUUCCGUGGAAGGGAUUAUGAGAGGGAGGAAGAGAGUCCAAAUAGUACAGUUCCACACGAGAUGACCUAAUUGUGGAAGGCUGAAACAGGCUUAUAUAGAAGACUGGACAUCUCCAAGAAACCAGGACUUGAAAUAUAAUCAGGAGAACAUUUGGCAGAUGACCAGAAGGCUAUAAAUAGGCUUGUGUUUAAUAGCCAUCACCCCGGGGCGCCUGGGUGGCUUAGUUGGUUAAGCGUCCGACUU